rnacentral:rRNA from 1 species
GAGAAUUUAGCAGAGAUGCUUUAGUGCCUUCGGGAACUCUGAGACAGGUGCUGCAUGGCUGUCGUCAGCUCGUGUUGUGAAUGUUGGGUUAAGUCCCGCAACGAGCGCAACCCUUUAUCCUUUGUUGCCAGCACGUAAUGGUGGGAACUCAAAGGAGACUGCCGGUGAUAAACCGGAGGAAGGUGGGGAUGACGUCAAGUCAUCAUGGCCCUUACGAGUAGGGCUACACACGUGCUACAAUGGCGCAUACAAAGAGAAGCGACCUCGCGAGAGCAAGCGGACCUCAUAAAGUGCGUCGUAGUCCGGAUUGGAGUCUGCAACUCGACUCCAUGAAGUCGGAAUCGCUAGUAAUCGUAAAUCAGAAUGUUACGGUGAAUACGUUCCCGGGCCUUGUACACACCGCCCGUCACACCAUGGGAGUGGGUUGCAAAAGAAGUAGAUAGCUUAACCUUCGGGAGGGCGUUUACCACUUUGUGAUUCAUGACUGGGGUGAAGUCGUAACAAGGUAAGCGUAGUGCU